GCACUUACCUGGACGGGGUCGAUGGGUGAUCAAGAAGAUCCAUGGCCUGGAUCAAUGGCCUACAUUGCACUUGGUAGGCGUGGGAGAGUGGACGUCGUAAUUUGUGGUAGAGGGGUACGCGUUCGCGCGGCCCCUG
rfam:Oryza glaberrima chromosome 6 Oglab06_0024_10, whole genome shotgun sequence.